rnacentral:rRNA from 1 species
GUAACGCGUGAGCAAUCUGCCUUUGGAUGGGGGAUAACAGCCGGAAACGGCUGCUAAUACCGCAUAAUGCAACGGGACCGCAUGGUUCUGCUGCCAAAGAUUUAUUGUCCAAAGAUGAGCUCGCGUCUGAUUAGCCAGUUGGCGGGGUAACGGCCCACCAAAGCGACGAUCAGUAGCCGGACUGAGAGGUUGAACGGCCACAUUGGGACUGAGACACGGCCCAGACUCCUACGGAAGGCAGCAG